AGUGGCGCACGGGUGAGUAACGCGUGGGUAAUCUACCUCCGAAUCGGGGAUAACCCGCCGAAAGGCGAGCUAAUACCGGAUAAUAUCUUUAAAACUUCGGUUUUUAAGAUCAAAGGUGGUCUCUACAUGUAAGCUACUGUUUGGAGAUGAGCCCGCGUACCAUUAGCUUGUUGGUAGGGUAAUGGCCUACCAAGGCCACGAUGGUUAGCUGGUCUGAGAGGAUGAUCAGCCACACUGGAACUGACACACGGUCCAGACUCCUACGGGAGGCAGCAGUGAGGAAUUUUGCGCAAUGGGGGAAACCCUGACGCAGCAACGCCGCGUGAGUGAUGAAGGCUUUCGGGUCGUAAAGCUCUGUCAAGUGGGAAGAACCUGCUAGAUACUAAUACCAUCUAGCACUGACGGUACCACUAAAGGAAGCACCGGCUAACUCCGUGCCAGCAGCCGCGGUAAUACGGGGGGUGCAAGCGUUAUUCGGAAUUAUUGGGCGUAAAGGGCGCGUAGGCGGUCUCUAAAGUCAGAUGUGAAAGCCCGGGGCUUAACCCCGGAAGUGCAUUUGAAACUUAGGGACUUGAGUAUGGGAGAGGGAAGUGGAAUUCCUGGUGUAGCGGUGAAAUGCGUAGAUAUCAGGAGGAACACCAGUGGCGAAGGCGACUUCCUGGACCAAUACUGACGCUGAGGCGCGAAGGCGUGGGGAGCAAACAGGAUUAGAUACCCUGGUAGUCCACGCAGUAAACGUUG
rnacentral:rRNA from 1 species